UAAGUGCUGGCUGGACAUGGGAGGGCUCUAAUGGGUGAAUAGCUGGGCUGUAGCCUCAUAUGUUGUCGAAACAAAUGGAAACUUCUGAAACCCGAGUUUGAUUUCUAAUUGAUGGAUAGGAAGUUGCCUCUUUUUUAAUAAUAGUUGACUCAUUUAAUAUUUUUUUACUUCAUUAACUCUCCCAUUGUGGCAUCAUUACAAUUUUGGUGGUGUCUCAUAUUUAACAAAUGAAUACAAUCUUGGGGAAAGGUGGACCAAGAAUUCUAGGACUAGAAGUUCCUACAAAUAGUGAGGAAACAUACUUCAAAUUGAGCGUUUAGGAUUUCCUUUUAUGAAAAUGAGAAUGAGUAUACCUUGAAUAUUUUAAUGAAUACGGUUAGCAUAGUUGCUGUAACAGUUAUUUAUUUUGGAUUUGUCCAUUUGUGCUGGUAAAGUAGAACCAUAGCUUUUAUUCAUUUGCUUAAUCCAUUCUCUUCAUGCCAAGAAGAAAUAUUAUGUCCCAAUAAAAUAUGGACAUCUUCAGUGACAAGCGACAAC
rnacentral:lncRNA from 1 species